rnacentral:rRNA from 1 species
GGAGCGCAGCUACACAUGCAGUCGAGCGGCGCACAGAGGAACUUGUUCCUUGGGUGGCGAGCGGCCCACGGGUGAGUAAUGCCUGGGAAAUUGCCCGGUAGAGGGGGAUAACCAUUGGAAACGAUGGCUAAUACCGCAUAACCUCGCAAGAGCAAAGCAGGGGACCUUCGGGCCUUGCGCUACCGGAUAUGCCCAGGUGGGAUUAGCUAGUUGGUGAGGUAAGGGCUCACCAAGGCGACGAUCCCUAGCUGGUCUGAGAGGAUGAUCCGCCACCCUGGAACUGAGACACGGUCCAAACUCCUACGGGAGGCAGCAGUGGGGAAUAUUGCACAAUGGGCGCAAGCCUGAUGCACCCUUGCCGCGUGUAUAAAGAAGGCCUCUCCGGUUGUAAAAGUACUUUUCACGAGGAGAGGAAGGGGGUUAAGAUAACACCCUUAAUUAUUUGGACGUUCCCCCACAGAAAAAAGCCACCGGCAUAUUUCCGUGCCAAGCAGCCGCCGGUAUAUACUGGGAGGGGGCAGAGCGUUUAAUACCAAAAUUAUUGGGGGGGUAAAAACCCUAUGCCCGGGGGGGUUUGUUUUAUCUCACAAAGGUGGAAAACCCCCCGCGGGCUUCCCCCCCUAGGAAAUCCCCCUUUUUGAAAACUAAACAAAGUUUAGUAAUUUCCUUUGAUAGAAGGGGGGGGGAAAAAAUUUUACCUGGCUGCUGUGGGGUGGAAAUUUCUCCUUAACAUAUCUCUUAAAAGGAAAAUCCCUGGUCGGGGAGAAAGGGGGCCCCCCUCCCCCAAUAGAUAUAUGAAUCCCCCUCACAGACACAAAAGCGGGGGGGGGAGGGAAAAAAGGAAAUAUAAAUCCCCUGGUGUACCUCCGCACCCCUACAAAACAAUAAUUUUAUUUGGAAGGGUGGGAGCCC